UACGAAGGGGGCUAGCGUUGCUCGGAAUCACUGGGCGUAAAGGGCGCGUAGGCGGCGUUUUUAAGUCGGGGGUGAAAAGCCUGUGGCUCAACCACGAGAAUGGCCUUCGAUACUGGGACGCUUGAGUAUGGUAGAGGUUGGUGGAACUGCGAGUGUAGAGGUGAAAUUCGUAGAUAUUCGCAAGAACGACCGGUGGCGAAGGCGGCCAACUGGACCAUUACUGACGCUGAGGCGCCGAAAGCGUGGGGAGCAAACAGG
rnacentral:rRNA from 1 species